GAGUUUGAUCGUGGCUCAGAUUGAACGCUGGCGGCAUGCCUUACACAUGCAAGUCGAACGGCAGCAUGAUCUAGCUUGCUAGAUUGAUGGCGAGUGGCGAACGGGUGAGUAAUACAUCGGAACGUGCCCUGUAGUGGGGGAUAACUAGUCGAAAGAUUAGCUAAUACCGCAUACGACCUGAGGGUGAAAGUGGGGGACCGCAAGGCCUCAUGCUAUAGGAGCGGCCGAUGUCUGAUUAGCUAGUUGGUGGGGUAAAGGCCCACCAAGGCGACGAUCAGUAGCUGGUCUGAGAGGACGAUCAGCCACACUGGGACUGAGACACGGCCCAGACUCCUACGGGAGGCAGCAGUGGGAAUUUGGACAAUGGCGAAAGCCUGAUCCAGCAAUGCCGCGUGUGUGAAGAAGGCCUCGGUU
rnacentral:rRNA from 1 species